rnacentral:rRNA from 1 species
CAUAAAGUUAUCGAGAGGCAUCUUUUGAUAAUUAAAGUUUUCGGGCGGUAAAAGAUGGGCAUGCGUGGCAUUAGCUAGUUGGUGAGGUAACAGCUCACCAAGGCGAUGAUGCCUAGGGGUUCUGAGAGGACAAUCCCCCACACUGGUACUGAGACACGGACCAGACUCCUACGGGAGGCAGCAGUGAGGAAUAUUGGUCAAUGGGCGCAAGCCUGAACCAGCCAUGCCGCGUGCAGGAUGACUGCCCUAUGGGUUGUAAACUGCUUUUAUACGGGAAGAACCUCCCGCUCGUGAGCGGGACUGACAGUACCGUAGGAAUAAGCAUCGGCUAACUCCGUGCCAGCAGCCGCGGUAAUACGGAGGAUGCAAGCGUUAUCCGGAUUUAUUGGGUUUAAAGGGUGCGCAGGCGGAUUUGUAAGUCAGUGGUGAAAUCCCCCGGCUCAACCGGGGAACUGCCGUUGAUACUGCAGAUCUAGAGUACAGUUGAAGUGGGCGGAAUGUAGCAUGUAGCGGUGAAAUGCAUAGAUAUGCUACAGAACACCGAUUGCGAAGGCAGCUCACUAAGCUGACACUGACGCUCAGGCACGAAAGCGUGGGGAUCCAAACAGGAUUAGAUACCCUGGUAGUCCACGCUUGUUAAACGAUGAUCACUCGUUGUUGGCGAUAUACAGUCAGCGACUGAACGAAAGCAUUAAGUGAUCCACCUGGGAAGUACGAUCGCAAGGUUGAAACUCAAAGGAAUUGACGGGGGCCCGCACAAGCGGUGGAGCAUGUGGUUUAAUUCGAUGAUACGCGAGGAACCUUACCUGGGCUUAAAUGCACGAUGGCGAUCCCCGAAAGGGGAUUUUCCUUCGGGACAUUGUGCAAGGUGCUGCAUGGUUGUCGUCAGCUCGUGCCGUGAGGUGUCGGGUUAAGUCCCAUAACGAGCGCAACCCCUAUUCUUAGUUACCAUCAGGUUAUGCUGGGGACUCUAAGGAAACUGCCUACGCAAGUAGUGAGGAAGGUGGGGAUGACGUCAAAUCAGCACGGCCCUUAUGUCCAGGGCUACACACGUGCUACAAUGGCCGGUACAGAGGGGAGCUACCUGGUGACAGGAUGCCAAUCUCGAAAGCCGGUCUCAGUUCGGAUUGGAGUCUGCAACUCGACUCCAUGAAGCUGGAAUCGCUAGUAAUCGCACAUCAGCCAU